GACGAACGCUGGCGGCGUGCUUAACACAUGCAAGUCGAACGGAAAGGCCCUGCUUGCAGGGUACUCGAGUGGCGAACGGGUGAGUAACACGUGGGUGAUCUGCCCUGCACUUCGGGAUAAGCUUGGGAAACUGGGUCUACUACCGGAUAGGACCGCACUUUAGUGUGUGUGGUGGAAAGUUUUUUCGGUGUAGGAUGAGCUCGCGGCCUAUCAGCUUGUUGGUGGGGUAAUGGCCUACCAAGGCGGCGACGGGGAGCCGGCCUGAGAGGGUGUACGGCCACAUUGGGACUGAGAUACGGGCCAGACUCCGACGGGAGGCAGCAGGGGGGAAUAUUGCACAAUGGGCGCAAGCCUGAUGCAGCGAGGCCGCGUGGGGGAUGAAGGCCUUCGGGUUGUAAACUCCUGUCGCUAGGGACGAAGCUUUGUUGUGACGGUACCUAGAUAAGAAGCACCGGCUAACUACGUG
rnacentral:rRNA from 1 species